AAAAUUUUAGUUUAUAAAAAAAUUUAAUAUUUACAAUAUUAAGAUACUAAAAGUAAAUUUUA
rnacentral:tRNA from 1 species